rnacentral:rRNA from 1 species
GGUGGGCACUCUAAGGAGACUAGCCGGGUGGACAAACCGGACGGAAAGGUGGGGAUGACGUCAAGUCAUCAUGGCCCUUACGGCCUGGGCUACACACGUGCUACAAUGGUCGGUACAAAGGGUUGCCAAGCCGCGAGGUGGAGCUAAUACCCAUAAAACCGAUCGUAGUCCGGAUCGCAGUCUGCAACUCGACUGCGUGAAGUCGGAAUCGCUAGUAAUCGUGAAUCAGAAUGUCACGGUGAAUACGUUCCCGGGCCUU